UGGGGAAUUUUGGACAAUGGGGGAAACCCUGAUCCAGCCAUCCCGCGUGUGCGAUGAAGGCCUUCGGGUUGUAAAGCACUUUUGGCAGGAAAGAAACGUCAUGGGUUAAUACCCCGUGAAACUGACGGUACCUGCAGAAUAAGCACCGGCUAACUACGUGCCAGCAGCCGCGGUAAUACGUAGGGUGCAAGCGUUAAUCGGAAUUACUGGGCGUAAAGCGUGCGCAGGCGGUUCGGAAAGAAAGAUGUGAAAUCCCAGAGCUCAACUUUGGAACUGCAUUUUUAACUACCGGGCUAGAGCGUGUCAGAGGGAGGUGGAAUUCCGCGUGUAGCAGUGAAAUGCGUAGAUAUGCGGAGGAACACCGAUGGCGAAGGCAGCCUCCUGGGAUAACACUGACGCUCAUGCACGAAAGCGUGGGGAGCAAACAGG
rnacentral:rRNA from 1 species